AAUAGGCACUCAUAUAUUUUUUCUGAAUAAUAAUUGUGGCACCGCACGUGGCAAGUCAAACAUUAAAUAUUGAAAUAAAAUUAAAUAAAAUAAUCAUCUGGCAUUUGAAAAGUGUGAAUACAAUGUUUUUAUAUUUUACAGAUAAAUUACAGGUGAUAAUUUUACAAAUGAAAUGAGUUUCUGCCACCAGUGCCACCCUAUUAUAAAGCCUUAGAGGAUAUAACCAACGGAGACGCCAUGUCUAAAAUUUUCGGUACAAAAUAGUCUGCCGUUUUUUGCGGGGGAGGGGCACAUCAAAUGUAUAGGUACGUCAAGUCAGCCAAACGUCAGUCCAUACAUAUGGUUGACAUGUGGUUGACCAUUGGCCGCCUAUUUUCGACAGAGGGGAACGCCUGUUAAUGGCGGCUCCAUUGUUAAUUACUCCGAGGUUUUACCAGCUUUUUAUCAGAAAAUAUUUAUCAACAUUCUUGUAAAAUAAAACAUUAAUCAAAAUGCCCUUUGCCAACACGUUUCUUGAAUACGUUUGCGAACACAACCCUGUAAAUUUAUUAUAAGCCAGUGUGUUGUACCGCGAAAUUAUAAGGACUGAUAAUUAUUGUACAUAAUGUGUCAAAUAUUGAACUUGAGAAUGAACAAAUCGUCUCAUAUUUAUUAAUAUUUUAUUUUUUCGUAGAUGAUAAUUUGUUAGAGUGAGUGAAUGUUGUUGACAUUACGAUGGUUGAUUAUUUUUAAUUGUAACAUCUUAGCAUUAUUUAGUUUGUGUUUCAAUGGAUACAUUUGUUUCUUCAAGUCUUAACAUAAACUUUCACCGAUAUCUCUCACACGCCAUCUUCAGGAUCUUUAGUUAAAAACGUAGCUACAUAGAUGAUUAGCUUGUGUAAUGACGUCUAUAGAUGUGGCGUGUGGCUGAAAAGGUUAAACAAGGGUUUAAAAAAUACAAGUAACUACUCGUAGUGCAAUUAUAGCGGCAUUGUUGUGUGUGAAGCCAAAAGCAGUAACGCAACAUAAUAAUAUUAAAUUUAUGGAAUUAUUUCGCUGCGGUUGGACUUACGCUUCGGACGGUCGCUUUACACUGGGUUGUAUUUCGCUUUUGCUUGUUGUCCGCGAUCAUUACAGUGUCAACUCUUUGAACAUAAUAAAUUGUAACUCGUGGAGGCAACAUCAGGCGGUUUAGCAUGAGUUGCGUUCUCGCGCGCGACUCCAUACAUCAAGCGCGACUUCAAGUAUGGACACGCGCGCGAGAACGCAACUUAUGCUAUUAUGCUAGACGGCAAGACCACCAAAUGUAUCCAUGGAAACGCGUUUACCAUUGACCUCAUGCAUCAUAUUAGCGCUUCUACAGCGGGGCAACGACUAGAUUAUUGUAAAUUAAUUGUAAACGACUCUAAUAAUAUUAACUGUACACAUUUUUAUUUUGUAAUAAUUCCCUUUCUGACAGUGAGAUGUGGCCUUAAACUGGGUACAUUUGCUGUUGUUAAUAUGUAAAUAAAAGUUGAAAUAUUGUAAAUAAUAAAAAUAUAAAAUUAUAUGUUUUUUGCUAUAAA